AACGAACGCUGGCGGCAGGCUUAACACAUGCAAGUCGAGCGCCCCGCAAGGGGAGCGGCAGACGGGUGAGUAACGCGUGGGAAUCUACCCAUCUCUACGGAAUAACGCAUGGAAACGUGUGCUAAUACCGUAUACGUCCUUCGGGGGAAAGAUUUAUCGGAGAUGGAUGAGCCCGCGUUGGAUUAGCUAGUUGGUGGGGUAAAGGCCUACUAAGGCGACGAUCCAUAGCUGGUCUGAGAGGAUGAUCAGCCACACUGGGACUGAGACACGGCCCAGACUCCUACGGGAGGCAGCAGUGGGGAAUAUUGGACAAUGGGCGCAAGCCUGAUCCAGCCAUGCCGCGUGAGUGAUGAAGGCCCUAGGGUUGUAAAGCUCUUUCACCGGUGAAGAUAAUGACGGUAACCGGAGAAGAAGCCCCGGCUAACUUCGUGCCAGCCGCCGCAGUAAGAC
rnacentral:rRNA from 1 species